GGCAAGCUUUCUUGGUAAAACAGUUAUAUUUUAUCUGUUACAACUGGCUACAUUUGUACCUCUAUGUACUUUUGCAUUAUAUCUGCAUUUGUUUUGUUUUUUUUAGUCUAAACAUUUAUUUAUGAAGGGAUUUUCUUUUAUUGGUAACAAAUGGAUCCAUUAAGUCUCUCUGGAAAAAAGAAUACUAAAUACCUUCAAUGUAAACUAAUAAGCUGUUUAUAAUAUAUUAUAUGAUGUAUGAAGAUUAUCAAUUAUCAAGGUCUCAAGUUCUUCUAGUUACAUCCAGUGGACAAACAUAACUCUAAACAUUAAUAACUACUAGACAUAAUAGUGUUAAACAUGAGGACUACAGGAUUUUUUUUAAUAAUAAUAAUAAUAAUAAUAAUAUAUCCUUUAAAUAUGACUUUGUACAGGUCAAUUUCAAAUUCAAUAACUGGUCUCAAGAAUGUCCCACACAGCACCAGCAGGAGCUGGGACGAAUGCAUCUGUCCCUUUAAAUGUACAGCAGGUGCUGGGAGAUUCUGUACGACUCCAGGGGUUUCUGAAAAGCCAAUCAAAAGCAAUUGGGACUGUCCAUUUAAUGAUAGGUUUGCUGACUUUUCUGUUUGGCAUUGUUUUAACAUUGCAUGGACCAUCUAUUGCUAUCUAUAGUGGAGUGUAUUACUGGGGAUCUCUCAUUUACAUCAUUGCUGGCUCUCUGUGCAUUGCUGCAGAAAACGACUUUAAUUCAGCAUCAAGUGUGUGUUUGAUAAGAGCUUCAUAUGGAAUGAAUAUUGCCAGUGCUGUGACUGCAACGAUUGCCAUCGUUUUCCUUUCAGUGGAUGUGGAUUUAGGAUCAUUUAAGGACAGUUGUAAUGAUGCACUUUUCAAGGGCAUCUCUGGCGUAUUGUUGAUGUUCGCCAUUCUGGAGUUUAUUCUCUCUAUUUCUCUGUCAGUAAUCUCCUGCAAUGCCAAUGAUUGCUGUACUCCUCAGAUAUUUGUCAUCAGCAACUCCUCCAUGCCUCAGCAGUCUGCAGAAAUCCCCUCACAGCGCAGUGACAAAAAGGUGAAUGAAGAGAGCAGAGUCGUGGUGUAGACCUUGCACCGGGAUGUUUGUGUGGGGUGUGCGGCCUCUCCCAAUGAUUUCUGUCCCUUUACUAUACUGUCCUUCCAAUAAAAGUUUACAAUUUAAAGUAUACCAAAAGAGUGACUACAUAAUUUUAUGAAUUGCUGCAUAACUGAAUGGUUUGUUUUGAACAACUGUGAUUAUGUUCCCCAUGAGUAAAGAGUAUACCAAAUUUUGUGUCAAUGAGAUUUAUGGCUUAUUAAACAAAGACAAAAUGUUUUUUUUUGAAAAAGGUGAUGAAACUGACGGAAAUACAUCACUUGAUCUUAUGUUGUACAUUCUCGUUAUAUAAUUUUUGUAAACUUUGAACACAAGAAAGUCACGGACCGCAGCUUUAACGCUUCUUGAGGUGAAAAUUUUGAAUUCAUAACG